AACGAACGCUGGCGGCAUGCCUAACACAUGCAAGUCGAACGAGACCUUCGGGUCUAGUGGCGCACGGGUGCGUAACGCGUGGGAACCUGCCCUUAGGUUCGGAAUAACUCCCCGAAAGGGGUGCUAAUACCGGAUAAUGUCUUCGGACCAAAGAUUUAUCGCCUUUGGAUGGGCCCGCGUUGGAUUAGCUAGUUGGUAGGGUAAAAGCCUACCAAGGCGACGAUCCAUAGCUGGUCUGAGAGGAUGAUCAGCCACACUGGGACUGAGACACGGCCCAGACUCCUCCGGGAGGCAGCAGUGGGGAAUAUUGGACAAUGGGCGAAAGCCUGAUCCAGCAAUGCCGCGUGAGUGAUGAAGGCCUUAGGGUUGUAAAGCUCUUUUACCCGGGAUGAUAAUGACAGUACCGGGAGAAUAAGCUCCGGCUAACUCCGUG
rnacentral:rRNA from 1 species